GAUGUCAGUGAGUAAUGGGACAUUUGAUCGGAAUUGUGUGACAAUAAGAGUAUUCCACGGUUUUUAGAGGUCUAAUGGCUUUAAUUCUCGCUAAUAAUUACCUUGAAGUUGUAGAAAUUGUUGUAAAUGAUCGAAAUGAUCGCAGAAAUGAGAACGUCGUGAAGUCGGAGUAUGAGUCGGAACACAAGGAACAAGAGAUGGAGGUGGACUCUGCCGGAGGUGAACAAGAAAGCGAACGCGUUCAGCAAUCAAGCGAGGAAAAUAACGUACCAGAUGUAUCAGAGGCGCAUGUGACGCCGUGACGCUGGCGGUCGCCAGAAAUGUACAAGUUCUUGGAGCGUCAGCAGUGAAUUCCUCAGACGAUUAUUAAAAGAAGUCCUUGAAAACAACCACUAAUGACAUUUCUGCAAAAGAUGAAGAUACCAGGUCACCGAUUAAAUCACCCGAAAAGAUGACGAUGUUCAGCUUAUCAUGUUCUCAGUGCAGCUCAGAAUCUGAGGGGGCCAUCAACAGCUGUGAGAAAAUUUGGGCAAAGCACCUCUAGUCAGAGGUUAUUAUCAUGGAAAUCAUAUAUUCUACAAACAUCUUUUCAAGAUUCACAGAAUGCUGACAUUUCGAGCAUCAGCCCUUCAUCAGAGCAAUUAGAGGAAUUGUGGGCUGUGUGUAGGUUUAUAUGCAGAAAAUGGAGCUAUGCUGGGAUUAUGGAGACAGGAAACAGGAAAACAGCCUCGUUGUUGGCUCUGCUGAAUAAGUGUUUCUCCACCUGUGGGAAGAUUUAAGAAGAGAUUGAAAGAGGUGUGCUGUGGGUGUGGCUGACUGGUUUGGCUCAAGGCCUUAAAUUUAUUUGUUUGUGAAG